rnacentral:lncRNA from 12 species
CUCUGGUUUAUGGCAUAAGAAUUGGACUUUAUAUCACAACCCUUAACAUUUACCAGCUCUUUGAUCCACAGCCUUGCUGUGAAGGUCAAGUGAUAGAAUAGGAAUAAACCAUUUUUGGAAACUUUAAGCCAUGUGAAUAGAAUAUUUUUAUUGCUGUUACUUUUGCCCUAACUUAGAAUAUGUUGUGAUUUACCUCUAACUGAAUAAAUAUUUCUCAUAACCAAACAAAAAGAAAUUAGAAACGGUGUGGUGUCGUGUAGGCGUCAUUGCAUUCUUUUUAUAAAGGUGUACAGAUACGUGUGCACAUGUGAGGUGCUGUAGAAAUGAAGCUCACGAAGCAAAUACCUGGAGUAGCUUUGAAGAAUAGAGAAGCAUUUCCCUUCGUAAGCUCCAAUGUGGAACAUCGUGACUGCAGCAGAGACACAGACAACAGAUGCCUGAGAAGAGGAGGAUGUUUACCAUUGGAGGGAAAUGGAAAGUGUUUAUUUUCUGUCUGGUCAGAAGCUCAACAUCAGAUGCACAUCUCAGGGCCCUGGUGCCCUGAACACACACACGCACAUGGACCUUGGGAUUCUGCUUACUGAAAAACUGAAGCAGCUCACAUUCACUCAGCAAACACUACCGAAUGCCUCACAAGCUCUUCCAGUUGCCUAGAUCGGUUGAAAAUAGAUACCGAGUACCACAUCAGGUAAAGUUCAUAAUGGCACGCACAGUGACCGUGAUUCCUAGCGGGAGACCUUCUCAU